CCUACGGGAGGCAGCAGUGAGGAAUAUUGGACAAUGGUCGAAAGACUGAUCCAGCCAUGCCGCGUGCAGGAAGACGGCCCUAUGGGUUGUAAACUGCUUUUGUUUGGGAAGAAACCUUUCUACGUGUAGAAAGCUGACGGUACCAUACGAAUAAGCACCGGCUAACUCCGUGCCAGCAGCCGCGGUAAUACGGAGGGUGCAAGCGUUAUCCGGAUUUAUUGGGUUUAAAGGGUCCGUAGGCGGACUUAUAAGUCAGUGGUGAAAUCCUGCAGCUCAACUGUAGAACUGCCAUUGAUACUGUAAGUCUUGAAUUCGGUUGAAGUGGGCGGAGUAUGGCAUGUAGCGGUGAAAUGCUUAGAUAUGCCAUAGAACACCGAUUGCGUAGGCAGCUCACUAAGCCUGGAUUGACGCUGAGGGACGAAAGCGUGGGUAGCGAACAGGAUUAGAUACCCUGGUAGUCCACGACCGUAACGAUAGAUACUACGACAUAGUCGAUACACGGUUAGUUGUCUAUAAGACGAAGACAUUAAGUUAA
rnacentral:rRNA from 1 species